rnacentral:rRNA from 1 species
UUGACCUCGGAUCAGGUAGGAAUACCCGCUGAACUUAAGCAUAUCAAUAAGCGGAUGA